AUUGAACGCUGGCGGCAGGCCUAACACAUGCAAGUCGAGCGAGCGGCGGACGGGUGAGUAAUGUCUGGGAACCUGCCUGAUGGAGGGGGAUAACUACUGGAAACGGUAGUUAAUACCGCAUACCCUCAGAUGUGCCCAGAUGGGAUUAGCUAGUAGGUGGGGUAAAGGCUAACCUAGGCGACGAUCCAUAGCUGGUCUGAGAGGGUGAACAGCCACACUGGAACUGAGACACGGUCCAGACUCCUACGGGAGGCAGCAGUGGGGAAUAUUGCGCAAUGGGCGCAAGCCUGAAGCAGCCAAGCCGCGUGUGUGAAGAAGGCCUUCGGGUUGUAAAGCUCUUUCAGCAAGGAGGCGUUACUCGCAGAAGAAGCACCGGCUAACUCCGUGCCAGCAGCCGCGGUAAUAC
rnacentral:rRNA from 1 species